rnacentral:rRNA from 1 species
GAUGAACGCUGGCGGCGUGCCUAAUACAUGCAAGUCGAGCGAACAGAUAAGGAGCUUGCUCCUUUGACGUUAGCGGCGGACGGGUGAGUAACACGUGGGUAACCUACCUAUAAGACUGGAAUAACUCCGGGAAACCGGGGCUAAUGCCGGAUAACAUUUAGAACCGCAUGGUUCUAAAGUGAAAGAUGGUUUUGCUAUCACUUAUAGAUGGACCCGCGCCGUAUUAGCUAGUUGGUAAGGUAACGGCUUACCAAGGCAACGAUACGUAGCCGACCUGAGAGGGUGAUCGGCCACACUGGAACUGAGACACGGUCCAGAAUCCUACGGGAGGCAGCAGUAGGGAAUCUUCCGCAAUGGGCGAAAGCCUGACGGAGCAACGCCGCGUGAGUGAUGAAGGUCUUCGGAUCGUAAAACUCUGUUAUUAGGGAAGAACAAAUGUGUAAGUAACUGUGCACGUCUUGACGGUACCUAAUCAGAAAGCCACGGCUAACUACGUG